AGAGUUUGAUCCUGGCUCAGAUUGAACGCUGGCGGAAUGCUUUACACAUGCAAGUCGAACGGUAGAGGGGGCAACCCCUUGAGAGUGGCGAACGGGUGAGUAAUGUAUCGGAACGUGCCCAGUCGUGGGGGAUAACGUAGUGAAAAUUACGCUAAUACCGCAUACAAUCUAUGGAUGAAAGCGGGGGAUCGCAAGACCUCGCGCGAUUGGAGCGGCCGAUAUCAGAUUAGGUAGUUGGUGGGGUAAAGGCUCACCAAGCCAACGAUCUGUAGCUGGUCUGAGAGGACGACCAGCCACACUGGAACUGAGACACGGUCCAGACUCCUACGGGAGGCAGCAGUGGGGAAUUUUGGACAAUGGACGCAAGUCUGAUCCAGCCAUUCCGCGUGCAGGACGAAGGCCUUCGGGUUGUAAACUGCUUUUGUACGGAACGAAAAAGCUCUUAUUAAUACUAGGAGUCCAUGACGGUACCGUAAGAAUAAGCACCGGCUAACUACGUGCCAGCAGCCGCGGUAAUACGUAGGGUGCAAGCGUUAAUCGGAAUUACUGGGCGUAAAGCGUGCGCAGGCGGUUAUAUAAGACAGAUGUGAAAUCCCCGAGCUUAACUUGGGAACUGCAUUUGUGACUGUAUAGCUAGAGUACGGCAGAGGGGGAUGGAAUUCCGCGUGUAGCAGUGAAAUGCGUAGAUAUGCGGAGGAACACCGAUGGCGAAGGCAAUCCCCUGGGCCUGUACUGACGCUCAUGCACGAAAGCGUGGGGAGCAAACAGGAUUAGAUACCCUGGUAGUCCACGCCCUAAACGAUGUCAACUGGUUGUUGGGUCUUCACUGACUCAGUAACGAAGCUACGCGUGAAGU
rnacentral:rRNA from 1 species